rnacentral:lncRNA from 1 species
CCCCUUUCAUUUAUAUUUCAUUAAAGACGAAACUUCAAAAAUUUGAGAUAAAGCAUGAGUUUCAGAUUAUGUGUGUGAAAGGUAUGUGCCAAAUUUUGAAAUUCUAUGUGCCAAAUUCUGAAAUUCAAUAGAAAUUUUAGAUUUGAUCAUUUUCAUUGUUACAAAUUGCUCCCCCUUAAAUGUAUAUGCUUUCCUAUUAUAAUUUUCAACUUGUUUGACAACUUAUUUCUCUUUCUUACACAACUUAUAAUUUUCAACUUGUCUUUCCUUACUUCUUCCCCUUUUUGUUAUCAUCAAAUAGGUGCAUGGGAAUAUACACAAUAAUUAACAAACAUUUAAACUUCAUUGAUCAAAAUAGGAACAUUUUAGUACAAUUAAUGCCAAAAACAAAAAC